CUGUAAUCAACCAUUGUGAGAGUUAACGUGAGCUUAACACGUAAAGAACUGACUUCUCAAAUAUUAUUAUAGAGAUACAAAAUGAAUCAACAGUAAUUAAUCAAUUAAUCAUAUACACUAUUAAAAGGCAAAUAUAAGCCAUGGGGAGGGUGUCCACAUCAGAAAAUUUAAUCAACCAAUGACAUGAUGCCAUGUCACCUCAGUCUAAACAAUUUUCAUUAUAUACUUUAAUACACGAAUGGGCCAUAACCAAAUUUCUGCUUCCUUUUGUAUUUUUUUGGGUCCAAAUCCACGCAUCGUUCUAUCAUCUUCUUCAUCUUCCCACUCCCGUCGCAUUGCCCCUUUCACCUCCUCCAUAACGUCGGUCUCCCACUUCAUGAUUCAUAAAGCCUCACACAUUCACUACGAUAAUUAAUGCCUAUUCAACUCUUGCAUUUUCCACAAAUUUACAACUGCAUAUGUAUAUAUAUCUCCUCUCUAAAUCCUUAUGCUUCACCUAUUUCUUCAAAACGAAAUCAUCAUACCAGGCUAUAGAUACUUUGGUUGGGUCAACGAAAAGAGAAGACCGAAGCAGACAAGAAGAUCCUUACAGAGGAUGAACUUGAGCAGAAGAAGAAGAAGGAUGACAAGGUUUGGGUUUUGAUUUUUUUUUUCCGAUGGUUAUAAGAUUUACUUCUUCCGAAGGAAACUGCUAUUCAAUUGAGCAAAGAGAUUCAGGUUUCAUUCUUUGGAAGAUUUUGAUACUGGUUGCGAUAACAGAGGUGUGUGUUUCUGCAAAAGAUUUAACUAGAAGUUUUACCAUUUCAUUUUACCUCACUUAUUACGAAGCUGGUAAUCAAUUUUUGAGUUCAUGUUGUUAUAUGUUAUACGUUAGAUAGUUCUUUAUGUUUGGGCACAAAAUUGAAAACUGUUUUUUCAGAAUUCUGUGAUGGUUCUAAGUGGCUUACGAAGAUUGUUAUACACAUUGAAAUUGAAAGAUGAUCAAGAAGCAAAACAAAUGCAGAAGAAGAUUAGAACUCACUCUCAUGCUAUUUUGUUAAGUUUAACUGGCGGUUGUUGAAUCAUGGUAUUGGUGUGAUAUGCAUCUUUCUACGUAUUAACGAAUGUUCCUUAUUUUCUUUGUCAGACUGCAAAUCGUUUCAUGGAUAGAGGCGUGAGCAGAGUAAUUUUGGCUCACUGUUUGUGUUUGUAAUGUGGAUCACAUGUUUUUUUUAAACAACGAAACACAUGGUUAUCUAUGUUGAUUCCUUUAACUGCUUGCUUUCUCUC